rnacentral:misc_RNA from 1 species
GAUGAAGAACGUAGCGAAAUGCGAUAAGUAAUGCGAAUUGCAGAAUUCAGUGAAUCAUCGAGUCUUUGAACGCACAUUGCGCCCCCUGGUAUUCCGGGGGGCAUGCCUGUCCGAGCGUCAUUGCUGCCCUCAAGCCCGGCUUGUGUGUUGGGUCUCGUCCCCCUUCCCGGGGGGACGGGCCCGAAAGGCAGCGGCGGCACCGUGUCCGGUCCUCGAGCGUAUGGGGCUUUGUCACCCGCUCUGUAGGCCCGGCCGGCGCUUGCCGAUCAACCAAAACUUUUUUCCAGGUUGACCUCGGAUCAGGUAGGGAUACCCGCUGAACUUAAGCAUAUCAAUAAGCGGAGGA